rnacentral:rRNA from 1 species
UGCCAGACUCCUACGGGAGGCAGCAGUGAGGAAUAUUGGUCAAUGGGCUUACGCCUGAACCAGCCAAGUCGCGUGAGGGAAGACUGCCCUAUGGGUUGUAAACCUCUUUUGUCAGGGAGCAACGCCGGCUACGUGUAGCCGGACUGAGAGUACCUGAAGAAAAAGCAUCGGCUAACUCCGUGCCAGCAGCCGCGGUAAUACGGAGGAUGCGAGCGUUAUCCGGAUUUAUUGGGUUUAAAGGGUGCGUAGGCGGAAGGCAAAGUCAGCGGUAAAAUCGGGGGGCUCAACCUCGCUCCGCCGUUGAAACUGGCGUUCUUGAGUGGGCGAGAAGUAUGCGGAAUGCGUGGUGUAGCGGUGAAAUGCAUAGAUAUCGAGAGGAACACUCGUGGCGAAGGCGGGUUCCUGGACAUUAACUGACGCUGAGGCACGAAGGCCAGGGGAGCGAAAGGGAUUAGAUACCCCUGUA